rnacentral:rRNA from 1 species
AUGGACGAGGUCACAAGGAGUAUACAAGGAGAUAUCCCAUGGUGUAUGCUCUUUGCGGAUGAUGUGGUGCUAGUUGACGAUAGUCGGACGGGGGUAAAUAGGAAGUUAGAGUUAUGGAGACAAACCUUGGAAUCGAAAGGGUUUAGGCUUAGUAGAACUAAAACCGAGUACAUGAUGUCCGGUUUCAGUACUACUAGGUGUGAGGAGGUUAGCGUUGAUGGCCAGGUGGUACCUCGAAAGGACACCUUUCGGUAUUUGGGGUCAAUGUUGCAGGAGGAUGGGGGUAUUGAUGAAGAUGUGAACCAUCAAAUCAAAGCCGUAUGGAUGAAGUGGCGCCAAGCUUCUGGCAUUCUCUCUGACAAGAGAGUGCCACAAAAGCUAAAAGGCAAGUUCUACAGGACGACGGUUCGACCCACAAUGUUGUAUGGCGCGGAGUGUUGGCCGACUAAAAGGCGACAUGUUCAACAGUUAGGUGUGGAGGAGAUGCGUAUGUUGAGAUGGAUGUGUGGCCACACGAGGAAGGAUCGAGUACGGAAUGAUGAUAUACGAGAUAGAGUUGGGGUAGCACCAAUUGAGGAGAAGCUUGUCCAACAUCGUUUGAGAUGGUUUGAGCAUAUUCAGCGCAGGCCUCCAGAAGCUCCAGUGCAUAGCGGACGGCUAAAGCGUGCGGAGAAUGUCAAGAGAGGGCGGGGUCGACCGAAUUUGACAUGGGAGGAGUCCGUUAAGAGAGACCUGAAGGAUUGGAGUAUCGACAAAGAGCUAGCUAUGGACAGGGGUGCGUGGAAG